GUCCCAUGGUCUAGUGGUCAGGACAUUGGACUCUGAAUCCAGUAACCCGAGUUCAAAUCUCGGUGGGACCUUUUUUUUUCAUUAUUAUUAUUUUAAGUUUUUUCAGCUCAACUCGAUUGCUUCAACCUCUUAACUACGACAGUGAUCAUCAGUGCCAGUCUGCCAGAAGAAGAAUGAGAACCACGUUGCUCAUUGAUCGAUCUUCGUAAGAGGCUGCAAUUUCGCGUAUUGAUAUUUACUCUAGCCAUGGUUGCAUAACACUAUUUGUUGCAGCUGAAAUUCCUAUCAUAAUAGCUGUUGCGCAAUUUCGACUAAAGAAGAGAGAUAAUUUAGACAAGAAACGAGUGUAGAUUUUGAAGUUGAAAGUAAAUGAGAUGAAUGUGAAUGAACAAGUGGAAGUGUGGAACAUAACAUACAGAUACAGGUACUUUGGAUGCAAAGCUUACUGAGGAGCUACACCAUUGCUCGCUUGCAAUAGCAUGCAGCUCUUGUGCUUCAUGUAAGAUGGUGGUUAUUCUAUGAUCUUAUGAUAUAAUUCAAAACAUUCUCUCAAGCACAUUUCUACAUACAAUUGCAGUUAUCAGUGAUGACUCCUGUAUCAGGUUGGAAAGCACUGGAAGCAAACCUUGAUACAUAUACAGAUGUAGCAGAGCUUGGUGAAGAUGCAUGCCCAUCCUGAUUUGCAAAAGCAUCUAGUUCUUGUGCUUCACAAGAGGCCCUCUCAGCCUUCUUUUGCAAGUAUCGACGCCAUGCUGCCUGUAUCAUACAUGCAGCCCACGUCCUCCACUGCUGGGAGAAGAACCUGGAGACACAUUGCUGAAUAAGAUCUAAGGAGUUAGGACUCAAGGCCCAUGUUAGAAGCUCUUCUCCACAAAAGUCACCAGCCGAGAGCAAGGAUUUGACAGAACUAGAUCUUCCAUCAUUUGCUGUGGUACUAGCAAGUUUUCCACUC